rnacentral:lncRNA from 1 species
ACACAUGAAAACUUAUAAGCUUUCAUAAAGGAGUAUCAUCAAACUCAAAAUCGAGACAUGGACUCCAUCAACUAAUUAUUAAUUUGCCAAUGUAUAUCAAUGUUAUCCAAUUUACGAGGCUUAUAGACUAGCGAAAGAAUCGCCUUUUAAUAAAUCAAAACAACAAAUGACAUACACAACUAAUAAUAAUUAUAUCAGGAUUAAGAGUAUAAGUACAUU